AGAGCGAACGCUGGCGGCAGGCCUAACACAUGCAAGUCGAACGGACUCUUCGGAGUUAGUGGCGGACGGGUGAGUAACACGUGGGAACGUGCCUUUAGGUUCGGAAUAGCUCCUGGAAACGGGUGGUAAUACCGAAUGUGCCCUUCGGGGGAAAGAUUUAUCGCCUUUAGAGCGGCCCGCGUCUGAUUAGCUUGUUGGUGAGGUAAUGGCUCACCAAGGCUACGAUCAGUAGCUGGUCUGAGAGGAUGACCAGCCACAUUGGGACUGAGACACGGCCCAAACUCCUACGGGAGGCAGCAGUGGGGAAUCUUGCGCAAUGGGCGAAAGCCUGACGCAGCCAUGCCGCGUGUAUGAUGAAGGUCUUAAGGAUUGUAAAAUACUUUCACCGGUGAAGAUAAAUGACUGUAGCCGGAAGAAGAAGCCCCGGCUAACUUCGUGCCGAAGCAGCCGAC
rnacentral:rRNA from 1 species